GUCUACGGCCAUACCACCCUGAACGCGCCCGAUCUCGUCUGAUCUCGGAAGCUAAGCAGGGUCGGGCCUGGUUAGUACUUGGAUGGGAAAAUCCAAGUACUUGGAUG
rnacentral:rRNA from 1 species